GGUAAAAUGGCUGAGAGUAAGCAAUAAAUUGUAAAUUUAUUUACGGAAAAUAUUCCUUUUACCA
rnacentral:tRNA from 1 species